rnacentral:rRNA from 1 species
UGGGGAAUUUUGGACAAUGGGCGAAAGCCUGAUCCAGCAAUGCCGCGUGUGUGAAGAAGGCCUUCGGGUUGUAAAGCACUUUUGUCCGGAAAGAAAUCCUCUGGGUUAAUACCUCGGGGGGAUGACGGUACCGGAAGAAUAAGCACCGGCUAACUACGUGCCAGCAGCCGCGGUAAUACGUAGGGUGCAAGCGUUAAUCGGAAUUACUGGGCGUAAAGCGUGCGCAGGCGGUUUUGUAAGACGGAUGUGAAAUCCCCGGGCUUAACCUGGGAACUGCAUUCGUGACUGCAAGGCUAGAGUAUGGCAGAGGGGGGUUAGAAUUCCACGUGUAGCAGUGAAAUGCGUAGAGAUGUGGAGGAAUACCGAUGGCGAAGGCAGCCCCCUGGGCCAAUACUGACGCUCAUGCACGAAAGCGUGGGGAGCAAACAGGAUUAGAUACCCUGGUAGUCCACGCCCUAAACGAUGUCAACUAGUUGUUGGGGAUUCAUUUCCUAGUAACGUAGCUAACGCGUGAAGUUGACCGCCUGGGGAGUACGGUCGCAAGAUUAAAA